rnacentral:rRNA from 1 species
CCUACGGGGUGCAGCAGUGAGGAAUAUUGGUCAAUGGACGAGAGUCUGAACCAGCCAAGUAGCGUGAAGGAUGACUGCCCUCUGGGUUGUAACCUUCUUUUAUAAAGGAAUAAAACGAGGCUCGUGAGCCUUUUUGCAUGUACUUUAUGAAUAAGGAUAGGCUAACUCCGUUCCAGCAGCCGCGGUAAUACGGAGGAUCCGAGCGUUAUCCGGAUUUAUUGGGUUUAAAGGGAGCGUAGAUGGGUUGUUAAGUCAGUUGUGAAAGUUUGCGGCUCACCCGUAAAAUUGCAAUUGAUACUGGCAGUCUUGAGUGCAGUUGAGGUAGGCGGAAUUCGUGGUGUAGGGGUGAAAUGCUUAGAUAUCACGAAGAACCCCGAUUGCGAAGGCAGCUUACUAAAAUGUGACUGACAUUGAUGAGCGAAAGUGUGGGUAUCAAACAGGAUUAGAUACCCCGGUAGUC